GCACUCUUAGCUCAGGGGAUAGAGCGUUCGGCUCCGGACCGAAAGGUCGCAAGUUCGAUUCUUGUAGAGUGCA
rnacentral:tRNA from 1 species